UCCACAAUGGACCUCCCUCUCAUUACAUAUAUAUAUAUAGAACUAGGCUGAAAUACUAUUAAUAGCAUCAAUAACUUGAUGCUAUUAAGUUUUCCGCCCUUAGAUUAAAAGAUGUGCGGUUAGGAUGAUAUGGGCCCCCUAGGGUUGAGUGGGUGGUUGGUUGAAUAGUAUAAUCUAACGGAUAAAAAUAAUCAAAGGGGUAAUCUAACGGCAGAAAACCUGAUAGGACUAAGUGCUUGAUGCUAUCAAUAGCAUAGCAGCCGGACUCAUUAUAUAUAUAUAU
rnacentral:lncRNA from 1 species